ACACCAUCCCCCCACCCCAAGCCCAGAUGAGGCCCUUUGGGGCGGGGGGGGGGGGGGGCAAAAACAGGGAGUCCAGGCCCCUAUGGGAAUGGGGGGGACACUGGCACCCCCUUAUGUGUGGGCCCCUCCCUCCCAAAUCUGCUGGCUCAGCAAAGAUAAACCCUGUGGUCCCACCCUAGCGCCAGCUGGACUGGAUCCGGAACACACCCAGGGGGGUGGGGGGGGUCCUCCUAUUCGCUCACCCCCCCCAACCUGCUGGGGAAAAUUGGGGUGUCGGGGGGGGGGGGGGGGGAGGAGAAAAGGGACAGAACUGUCCCUGUUUUGGGUGGGGGGGUCCUGAACCUUGCCUCCCUCCCUGCCAUGCAAAUACACCCCUCCCCAAAAAUAUUCAGACCCCACCCCAAGAGGCACCACCCAGGGCAAGGUCCCCCCCGCCCCACCCUGUGCACCCAUAAAAGCCGGGGGGGGCCAGGUUGGCACUGCAGUUGCUGGCAGCUCCCCCCCCGCCAUGGACAAGCAACACCAGAAGGAGCCGUGCAAGAAGCACAAGGACGGCCACUCCUCUGACUCUUCCAGUUCCAGUUCCAGCUCCAGCUCUGACAAUGAGGGGAAGCACCAUGGCCCUGGCCACGAGCACAAGAAAAAGGACAAACUGCACAAGAAACCCAAGGAAAAGAAGAAGGAGAAGAAAAGUCACUGAGGUGGGGGACAGGGGGGUGACAAGGGGGUGACAAGGGCCCCCCCCCCCAUGAGAUGUCACCAGUUCCCCCUCCCUGCUAAUAAAGAGCUUGAAGGUGUCA